UACGUAGGGUGCGAGCGUUAACCGGAAUUACUGGGCGUAAAGCGUGCGCAGGCGGUUUUGUAAGCCAGAUGUGAAAUCCCCGGGCUUAACCUGGGAAUGGCAUUUGGGACUGCAAGGCUUGAGUGCGGCAGAGGAGACUGGAAUUCCUGGUGUAGCAGUGAAAUGCGUAGAUAUCAGGAGGAAUACCGAUGGCGAAGGCAGGUCUCUGGGCUGACACUGACGCUCAUGCACGAAAGCGUGGGGAGCAAACAGG
rnacentral:rRNA from 1 species